rnacentral:rRNA from 1 species
GUGCAGCAGUCGCGAAACCUCCGCAAUGCGCGAAAGCGCGACGGGGCCACCCCGAGUGCCGCCCGCUGAGGGUGGCUUUUCCCCGGUGUAGACAGCCGGGGGAAUAAGGAGAGGGCAAGUCUGGUGUCAGCCGCCGCGGUAAUACCAGCUCUCCGAGUGGUGGGGACGAUUAUUGGGCCUAAAGCGUCCGUAGCCGGCCCAGCAAGUCCUCCGUUAAAUCCAGCGAUCCAAUCGCUGGACUGCGGGGGAUACUGCUGGGCUAGGGGGCGGGAGAGGCCGGCGGUAUUCCCGGGGUAGGGGUGAAAUCCUAUAAUCCCGGGAGGACCACCAGUGGCGAAGGCUGCCGGCUGGAACGCGCCCGACGGUGAGGGACGAAAGCCGGGGGAGCGAACCGGAUUAGAUACCCGCGUAGU